UACGUAGGGGGCUAGCGUUGUCCGGAAUCAUUGGGCGUAAAGAGCGUGUAGGCGGUCCGGUAAGUCCGCUGUGAAAGUCGGGGGCUCAACCCUCGAAUGCCGGUGGAUACUGUCGGGCUAGAGUCCGGAAGAGGAGAGUGGAAUUCCUGGUGUAGCGGUGAAAUGCGCAGAUAUCAGGAAGAACACCCGUGGCUAAGGCGGCUCUCUAGUAACGGUAC
rnacentral:rRNA from 1 species